rnacentral:lncRNA from 1 species
GGGGAAGGAGAUUUUUUUAGGGCAGUAACCUGAUAGUGCAGUUAUGGAUGAUGGAGCAUUUGCAUGCACCUUCUUUAGUUAGACCAGACGUGUUAGAUCGUUGUAUUCCCAAUCGAGUGAAAGCCAUGGACUCCAGGUUGCGUUUGGAUAAAUUCUCGUUACCCGUGGGAGUCGACGCUUGGAUUGAAUUUCUUGAGUCAAGAACCAGGGAU